AACGCGAAGAACCUUACCCAGGCUCGAAAUGCAGAGGGCGAUGCCAGAAAUGGCAUUUUCCGCAAGGACCUCUGUAUAGGUGCUGCAUGGCUGUCGUCAGCUCGUGCCGUGAGGUGUUGGGUUAAGUCCCGCAACGAGCGCAACCCUUAUCAUUAGUUGCCAACAUUUAAGGUGGGGACUCUAAUGAGACUGCCUAGGUUAACUAGGAGGAAGGUGAGGAUGACGUCAAGUCCGCAUGGCCUUUAUGUCUGGGGCUACACACGUGCUACAAUGGUCGGUACAGAAGGAAGCAAGAGCGCAAGCUGGAGCAAAUCCGUAAAGCCGAUCUCAGUUCGGAUUGUAGUCUGCAACUCGACUACAUGAAGUUGGAAUUGCUAGUAAUGACGUGUCAGCAACAGCGUCGUGAAUACGUUCCCGGGCCUUGUACACACCGGUACUA
rnacentral:rRNA from 1 species